rnacentral:misc_RNA from 1 species
CCUGUUCCACUCUUCUGGACGGUCCGGCUGUUAGCACGCAUCCCGAGAGAGCCCAAGUUAAUUAGGAAGUUUUGAAAUUCAUAAUGCAAGGACUCUUGUUUGGUUGUAAGAAAAUCGGAAGGGAAAGCAAAUGAAAUGGCAAAAGCCCGUUGCUCUUCAAACACAUGCAAAUCACUGGGUUCAAAUAUCUUUGAUCACUAAAAAGAAUUCUUUAGCAUUUAGGGUUUUGAGAAAGGAGUG